CAUGUGUCUCAGAUGGGGACCUGUGAGUCCCGGAACCUGACUCACGGGUGGUGUGUCUCUCGGGACCAAGUGGAUGUUGAGAUACCAGCCGGACAGCUAUUAUACCAAUGCAGAAAGAAGGAAAUGGUGGCUUGGGUACUAGUGCCGGGGGACGGGGGAGAGGACAUGGUUGCUUGGGCCAAAGGAUGGUGCUGAAGUGGGGAGAAGGGGUCUGAUUCCAGGGCUCCCGCAGUUCUGCUUAGAUUCCUAGCAGCCUCUGCUCAG
rnacentral:lncRNA from 10 species